UUGUUAGUUUUAGUGGGCAUUCGGUGGAUGCCUUGGCACUCAGAGCUGAUGAAGGACGUGGCGGUCUGCGAUAUGCCUUAGGGAGUUGACGAGCGAGCGUUGAUCUAAGGAUUUCCGAAUGGGGGAACCUAGCUGGUGUUAUGGCCAGUUACCACUGCCUGAAUGAAAUAGGGUUGUGGGGGGAACGCGGGGAAGUGAAACAUCUCAGUACCCGUAGGAAAAGAUAUUCCGUGAGUAGUGGCGAGCGAAAGCGGAGGAGGCUAAACCUUGUGCGUGUGAUAGGCGGCGGCCGUUGCGUAUGGGGUGUUGUGGGGCAUGAUCGUCUACCUUCUGCCGGGGGUGGGCAUGGCGUGUUGUUGGUGGUUGAACCUCUUGGGAUGGGGGACCGUAGUGCGUGAUAGUCGCGUAGGCCAGCUGGUAGGGCGCCGUGUGGGUUGUGUUCCCGAGUAGUGCGGGACUCGUGAAAUCUCGUGUGAAUCUGCCAGGACCACCUGGUAAGCCUAAAUACUACUGAGUGACCGAUAGUGCAUAGUACCGUGAGGGAAUGGUGAAAAGUACCCCGGGAGGGGAGUGAAAUAGUACCUGAAACCGUGUGCUUGUAAGCCGUCAGAGCCUUGUGGGGUGAUGGCGUGCCUUUUGAAGAAUGAGCCUGCGAGUCAGUGGCACGUGGCGUGCUUAACCCGUGUGGGGUAUGCGUAGCGAAAGCGAGUCUGAAAUAUGGCGUUUGUCGCGUGUUCUGGACCCGAAGCGGGGUGAUCUACCCAUGGCCAGGUUGAAGCAAGGGUAAGACUUUGUGGAGGACCGAACCCACCAGGGUUGAAAACCUGGGGGAUGAGCUGUGGGUAGGGGUGAAAGGCCAAUCAAACUCCGUGAUAGCUGGUUCUCCCCGAAAUGCAUUUAGGUGCAGCGUUGUGUGGUUCCUGUUGGAGGUAGAGCUACUGGAUGGCCGAUGGGCCCUGUGGGUUACUGACGUCAGCCAAACUCCGAAUGCCAAUAGGGUAGAGCACGGCAGUGAGACUGCGGGGGAUAAGCUUCGUAGUCGAGAGGGAAACAGCCCAGAUCAUCAGCUAAGGCCCCUAAGUGUGCGCUAAGUGGGAAAGGAUGUGGAGUCGCGGUGACAACCAGGAGGUUGGCUUAGAAGCAGCCACCCUUGAAAGAGUGCGUAAUAGCUCACUGGUCAAGUGAUUUCGCGCCGACAAUGUAGCGGGGCUUAAGCGUACCGCCGAAGCUGUGGCAACAACACGUAUGCUGGCGUCAUUUAAUGAUUGUUGGUGUGUUGUUGGGUAGGGGAGCGUCCUGCAUGAGGUGAAGCCCGGGGGUAACCUCUGGUGGAUUGUGUGGGAGUGAGAAUGCAGGCAUGAGUAGCGAAUCUGCGGUGAGAAUCCGCAGCGCCGAUUGACUAAGGGUUCCAGGGCCAGGUUUAUCCGCCCUGGGUUAGUCGGGUCCUAAGGCGAGGCCGACAGGCGUAGUCGAUGGAUAACCAGUUGAUAUUCUGGUACCGCCUAGCAACCGUCCAAUACCGAGAUCAUCAUGCUAACCAAUUUUGCCGGCCAACAAUCGUGCCUUUCGGGGCGUGGUUUGAGGCUGGUCUUGGGACCCGGUGGUGGAGGUAAGCGUAUUAACAGGGGUGACGCAGAAAGGUAGCUGCAGUGGGCUGAUGGUUUAGCCUAUUUAAGGUUGUGGCCCGUCUUUCAGGUAAAUCCGGAAGACUUGUGGGUGAGAACUGAUGAGGGACGCUUUUAGAGUGGACUUGUGGUGAUCCUAAGCUGCCGAGAAAAGCCUCGACGCGAGGGGGCAAGGCGCCCGUACCCUAAACCGACUCAGGUGGUCAGGUAGAGUAUACCGAGGCGUUCGAGUGAAUCAUGGUUAAGGAACUCGGCAAAAUUCCUCCGUAACUUCGGGAUAAGGAGGACCCCGUGGUUUCCCAACACCUAGCGUGUUGGUGGGGCCGUGGGGUCGCAGAGAAUAGGGAGAAGCGACUGUUUAUCAAAAACACAGGUGCGUGCGAAGCCGUAAGGCGAUGUAUACGCACU
rnacentral:rRNA from 1 species